rnacentral:lncRNA from 1 species
AUGUUUUCAAACCAUUCUUUUUAACAAAGUAUUUUAUAAAUGCUUUUUAAUAUGUAAAUGAUUUUAUGACAUGACAACCUUUUAUGAUGUUAUCUUUAAAAUGUUAUGCAAGCCUAUAUUAUUGAUAUGAACUUUUAUAAAUCUGAUACGAAUGUUUUGUACCCAUAUAUGAUUUCAAUUACUGAUAAUUGUAUGAGAUUCCUAAUGUUUUGGCUCAUUGUCCAUAGUUAUUCUGAUUCUGAUUCUGAUCGUAAUAUACGAUAUAUCUGUCUGGACCAGUACUGGGUUUCUGUUCUGAAUGUGCACACGAUAUUCUGAUUAUGUUUCUGGCCGGGUCACCGGGACUAUAGGUGACACUAUGUGACAUGAGCUAACCUGUUUGUUUUCUGUAUACGUAUUACAUGAGUUGAUUCGUAAGUAAAUAUGCUUUUGAAUAUUCUGAAUUAUUAAGAAUUUAUCUUAUGUUAUUGUGAUAUAUCGUUUUAUGAAAAUUAUGGAUUAUGAUAUAUGCUUUAAACAAAAGAAGGCUUGCAAUAUUUUUGGUAUCGAUAGGCCUAGUGUGUUAGGAAUGGUUUUACUUACCGAGUUGACGGCUCACCCCUCGUCAUUACUUUUUUGCAGAUUAAGUUUCUUUUGAGAGGUGCACUUAGCUUUGGAGUUAAUGAUUUCCAGUUUCCGUUUGCUAUUGAAUAAGAGGAGGAAUAGACUUGUGUUUCUAUUUAGUUACUUUUAUUAUGAACGUGUAAUUUGGAGUUUGAGACUUUUGUUAUUAUUUUUAUAUGUCCUCGAGAGAGAUUAUUUAGUAUUUGACGUUUGGAUUUAUGGAUUUAUUUGAAUAAGAAUUGGAGGAAUUUCAGUUUGAAACUUAUGAGUAAAGAUUAUGAUUUGUGAGUAACCUCCUUCUUCACGUGCUCCGCACGUGUUAGAUUUGGGGUGUUACAAUAGCCCACCCGUUUUUGUGGCCUUUUUCCGCUGGAAGAUCUUGGCGCCC